rnacentral:misc_RNA from 1 species
UGCGUCUCUUCAAACCUUUCCUUUCCUAAUUCUCUCUCUUAUCUCUUCACUGCUCGCUGAUCUCUCAUUCCGCUUUUAUCUGAUCCUUUCUUGUCGGCUUCUUCAAGUCUCUCACGAUCUUAACUGCUUACUCUCCAAGCCCUUUCGUUGCUUAAUUCUCUAUUUCACGUCAAUCGCGCACUGGAAUCAUUUGGGUUUUUUGCGUGUUACUUGCUGUGAUCAGUGGUUGUUGUUGGAGUUUUGACGGUUCAUCUUUGUGCAAGGACUUGUGAGGAGGUGAGAUGGCGUCAUUGCAAGGACCGGUUAUUUGCCCUGCUGUGCGUGCAAAACAAGCAGGAAUUUAUACUCUGCCCGUGAAUAUUCCUUUGGUGAAUGCUAGGCUUGUUAGAAAUGGGUUAUGGAGAUUCAAGGAGAUGGAUGGUUACAAAACUAAAGUGAGUUUAUUUUCUCCUCAACUAAAUGCACAAGGGCGCUAUACAGUACAGUGUUGUUUGAGUUCUUCCUCGAAUGGUAAUGGGAGCACAGCCGAGAACUUCAAUGAAAAUGAUGAAGAUUAUGUAAACUCUAGCAUAGUUGAAGCUGUUGAGGUGAAGAGCGGAGCAGAUGGUUUCGUGAUCAAAAUGAGGGAUGGGAGGCACUUACGAUGUGUCCAUAACAACCCUCAAGGCGGGCAUCUGCCAGACUAUGCACCUCAUCCUGCAAUUGUAUUGAAGAUGGAAGAUGGGACUGGUCUUCUUCUCCCUAUAAUUGUUUUGGAGAUGCCCAGUGUGUUGCUCAUGGCAGCUGUUCGCAAUGUGCAAAUAGCUAGACCAACUAUGUAUCAAGUGGUAAAGGAAAUGAUUGAGAAAAUGGGCUAUGAAGUCAGACUUGUUAGAGUUACUAAGAGGGUGCAUGAGGCAUAUUUUGCUCAGUUAUACCUAACAAAGAUGGGCAAUGAGAAAGAAUGGGUCAGCUUUGACCUGCGUCCUUCAGAUGCCAUCAAUAUUGCAGUGAGAUGCAAGGUGCCAAUUCAAGUCAACAAGUACCUGGCAUACAGUGAUGGGAUGAGAGUUAUUGAAUUUGGAAAGCUAACACAUUCUCCUGCUUCAGAUGGUUUGUUAUUUACUGAACAAGAUCGGCCUACUGGUCAGCCUUGUCUUGACACCAAGGAGUUUAAUCUUGUCCGCAACAUGAUUACAGCAGCCAUUGAGGAACGUUACCAAGAUGCAGGUACAUUUUCUUUUAAUUGUUUUCCAUGUUUGUAGGUUAUGACAUUAUUUGAACAGUGCUGGUGGCCUUGUAUUGGAUGCUGUCAUUUUGAAAUGAUGCCAAAUUAGUUUGCUUAGAACUGCACAAUACAAAACCCCCCUGUACUCAAAUGUAUAUGUUUUUCUUUGAGUUUUGGAAAUUGUCUUUUUUACAAUGAUAUUAUAUGGAUGGUCUGAUUAAUAUUUUUCCUUGGGAGCAUUAUAGCUGGAUUUUGCAAUUCCCUUAUUCUUUUUAAUUGUGUUUAUUUUCAUUAGUAAUUUUGCAUCUUUUACAUUGUAAUGAUCUUCAUGUUCUAUUAAAGCUCAAUGGAGAGACAAACUUGGUCAAUUUAGGGCUAAAAGGAACUUGAAGAAAUAUACAUGACAGUUAUUCCACGAGAAAUUGUAUAUAGAAAGCAUUGUUGGAAGCUGAUGAGAUCAGUUUUAUACAGCAGUAACCAAUUAUGUCCCUUUCCCUUUCUACCAAUGUGCGUGUAACAAGUUUGUGAAUAUAUGUAUAGAUAAAACUUUGCUUACAAAAACGUUGAAGCAAUUUAACACUUGUUGAUUUCUGCUUAUUAUUCUGCUGUGGAUGCUGAAGCUUAUCAGCUAUUAAUUGCAUGAGGGGUUCUUCUUGCAUUUUGCUGUUAUUUGUUAGACAUCUAUACUAAAGCUGUUGUAUGAAAUUUAUGAAAUCACAAACGGUAGAGAAAUGUUUGGAUGGGCUAAACUGAUUGAAG